AUGUCUUUUGGAUUUUCCGUGAGAGUGCUGGUGCUCUCCCUUUUGGCAUUUGGGCACAAUACAAAUGCACUCUACAGAAGUGGAGGCCCCAGUGGUACUAGGCCUCUCUUUGCUCAUCCACGAAGCCACAACCCUGAUUUUGUGUCAACUUAUGAGCGUUCUGUGAAGCCUGGAGGGUUUCUGGGUAGUUCUGGAUCCAGUCACGGUGGAAGUGGGCAAGUAGAUGGUUACAGUCCAUAUGGAAGUGUUUCUAGUUACGUGCCUGAACCACAGAUCCUUAGGAAACAAAACUCUCAGCAGCCGCCUAAAACUAACCCCAAUGCAAAUGGUAGAUUCUCGACCAAAGGUGGCAACUGGGAUUUGGCCCCUCAAAAUGGAAAAAGUAUUAAGUCAGGUAUUGCUUCAAGUAGUGCAAUUAUUAUGCAAUCUGGUUCAGAGCCACACACUUUCAAUCCGGGCUACCUGCCAAAGCAGCCCAGGCCCCAGGAAGUGCCUACUUCCAAUACAGGCUACCCGCAGAAGCCGGCCCCAGCAGCUGCCCACUUCCAAUACAGGCUACCUGCAGAAGCCGGCCCAGCAGCUGCCCACUUCCAAUACAGGCUACCUGCAGAUACCACCCAGGCCCCAGGCGCUCUCCUCUUUUAACACAGGCUACCAGUCCAAGCCCCAGCAGUCCCACACUUUCAAUCCAG
ensembl:lncRNA